rnacentral:rRNA from 1 species
GGGGAAUUUUGCGCAAUGGGGGAAACCCUGACGCAGCGACGCCGCGUGGGUGACGAAGGCCUUCGGGUUGUAAAGCCCUGUCUGGGGGGAAGAUAGUGACGGUACCCCCGGAGGAAGCCCCGGCUAACUACGUGCCAGCAGCCGCGGUAAGACGUGGGGGGCGAGCGUUGUCCGGAAUUAUUGGGCGUAAAGGGCGUGUAGGCGGCCUGUCAAGUCGGCUGUGAAACCCCCCGGCUCAACCGGGGGCCUGCAGUCGAAACUGGUGGGCUUGAGUGCAGGAGAGGAGGGUGGAAUUCCUGGUGUAGCGGUGAAAUGCGUAGAUAUCAGGAGGAACACCGGUGGCGAAGGCGACCUUCUGGCCUGUUACUGACGCUGAGGCGCGAAAGCUAGGGGAGCAAAC